AGCGAACGCUGGCGGCAUGCCUAACACAUGCAAGUCGAACGAUUGCCUUCGGGUGAUGGUGGCGCACGGGUGCGUAACGCGUGGGAAUCCGCCCUUAGGUUCGGAAUAACAGCUGGUAACGGCUGCUAAUACCGGCUGAUAUCGCGAGAUCAAAGAUUUAUCGCCUGAGGAGGAGCACGCGUUGGCUCAGGUAGUUGGUGGGGUAAAGGACUACCAAGCCGACGAUCCAUAGCUGGUCUGAGAGGAUGAUCAGCCACACUGGGACUGAGACACGGCGCGGACUCUUACGGGAGGCAGCAAUGGGGAAUAUUGGACCGUGGGCUCAAGCCAGAUCCAGCAAUGCCGUUUGAGUGAUUAAGGCCCGAGAGUUGUAAAGCUCUUUUACCCGCGGAGAUAAUGACGGUACCGGGAGAAUAAGCCCCGGCUAACUCCGUG
rnacentral:rRNA from 1 species